GGGCGAGUGGCCCAGUGGAAAGAGCCCGGGCCUGGGAGUCGGAGGAUCUGGGUUCUAAUCCUAGCUCCGCCA
rnacentral:tRNA from 1 species